CCAUCUGUGGGGGAAAUUGUUUUGCCCCUUAACUAUCCUCCAGCUGCCUGGAUCAGAGGAGACUGUGCCGCCUGCUCUAGGAUGCAGCUUAUCCCACGCACGUGUUAGCCUGAACAGGUGAUGCUCUCUGUAACAGGGCCUCAGGAAGCUUGCUCCAGUGCCCUCUGACUGCAAGACACCCUCUUUCUCCCUGAUAGUCACCAACCUAGGGGGGCGGAGCCCAGGUAUUUUCUCAUUGUUAUCAGUGAAUAACAAUCAAGUGGUUAAAGUUAGUCCUAUCUUUGAGAACUAUAAUAUUUCCUGAAUCGCUAUACUCUGCAUUCAUUAGGAGUUUAUUCUUCAUAUUAAAAACUCAUCAGAACUCUAAUUCAGAAGUUAUAUCCUUUAUGAAUUUAAGAUGGAAAUUGUUAUUCAAAAUGCAUUGAAUUAAACUUAGAAUUUAAGUGCAUUUUUCUUCCUAUGCAGGCCCUUUGUGUGAAAAAGGCAUUCUUCUAGGAAAGGACUGGCAAAAUAUAUUUGAGAAAAAUAAGAAAAGAAAUUACUUGAAAUAAACAUAAGUUCUAGUAUAAAUAAUUCUAUUUAAUAGAUUUCUUUCGCCUUGAAAAAAUAGGUAGCAGUAGGUCCUUAAAUGAAUAUAAAAUAGACAUAGCAAAUCGUUUGAACCUUUGUUCUUCUUUAGAUCAUUUCCAACCUAGAACACCAAGUAGACUAAUUAAUAAGGCUAAUUAAUAUUGUAUUGAAAGAUUCACAACAAUCUCACAGUGCUCUAAGAGAGCAACAAAGGUGACCCCAAAUUUGCAGGGCAGAAAAAAGACACGGAAAUACUGGAAGCAUGGGGGUUGGGAAGGGGACUGUUUGUUAUACCUGCACCACUUCAUUUAUUUAAGAGAAAGAGCUGAUGCACAUAUGGCAAAAUAUUUACCUUGUUAAAAUAAAUCUAGAUUAUCAGUACAUGCAUAUCUGUUUUGGGGGGAUGUUUGAAAUAUUGCAUAAUCAAAUUACUAAAGAAUAUUGGAUUCAGGUUUAAAAGAAUUACGUUUACUUGGUAUAAAUAGAAAGAUCAUAUGACUGUGUAGUUUCAGAAUAAAGAGGGAUAAGAACAGUGUCAAAUCAUAAUAAGAAAAACUGGACUCAGAGAUAAGGAGGGUUUGUAUGUAAGGAAGCAGACACUCUGCUAAGUGUGAAGCUCUAUUGGUAGAAGGAGCGGAAAUUCUCUUGACAGAGAUUCCUGCUAAUUCAGUCAUUUAAAUAUAUGUUGGUUUAUUUCAGGUCUAGGUUAAUACAUUUAUUGCUAAUGAGUUGAUGACUCAACAGAGCCAAGCUCCACAUCAGGUAGGAGGUUGCAAAGAAGGGUCCAUCCUACCACAUCAGAUGGAAAAACCGGGACACAAAUGGGCUGAGAAAAUUGUCCAAGACCCCCCAUUUAGUGAUUGACAGUGAGCAGAAGGACACAAAGUACAGUCAACAAAGGAAAAGGCAAGUGGACCAAAGUCUGGAGGAAACCAGAGGCAAGCUCCCUCGAGUCCUCUGCCAGUGGAACCACACAGGACACGCUUAAGUCCUCCAGCCAUGAGGACAACAUGUGUGAAAUGUUGCCAACCAGGGGAGCUUAGCCUCAGCCUAGGAGCCCAGGCUUUUAUGGGGGAUGGUCAUGUAGGCACCCUCUCCCUGGUACAUAUCAAAAUCCCAGAUUCCAGAAGGAAAGCAAGUGUUCAGCACCAACCACAUUGUUUGCAUAAACAUCUUAGGCAGCAGUGAGCCACUCUUAUCAAUUCUGGGAGUGGUGAAAGCCCUCCCAAAAUUCAGGUGCCUAGACACCAGCAAGCCUUUCUCAGGAUGGUGACUCAGGCCUGCGAUGUUAUCACUGUUAUCUCUUUUGGUUCUGAUUUUUUUUCUUCCUUUCCUUCAGUCUUUCUUACCUUCAAUCUUAUAUUCUAUUAUUUUAAUAAGAUGAUCUGAUUUAACACCCUUAGUUUCUUACAUGAAAAUACCAGCAUGGUCCUGCGCUAAGGUGGACAGAACACACCAAGUCCUUCUGAAGCUCUGGAGGCUCUGCUCCCGAGGAGGGCACGACCAAGGCCCUUCAUUCAUUACCUAAGAAAUGGUCAUUCCCUAGUAAGGCGCUUAAUCUGUCACAUUUCAAAAAUAAGUGAUGCCACAUUUCAAAAAUAAGGACUCAGGGUAAUUUCCCUGAGUCCUUAAGAGCGAUGACUCAUAGAGGACACCUCUGAACUGGCCCUCUCUAUAGGAGAAAACAAGGAGCCUGCGCUAGAAAGAAUGGAAAGGCCUAGAAAUGACCAAUUGGCCCUGAAAAUUGAGUCAGUGAACAAGUGUCUGUUAGGCACGGACGGUGUGGAAUGUGGUUAAGGAUGGUCUGAGUUAGCUAGGAGGUACCAUCGUGGUCCUUCUCAGACACAUACUCUUCCGGGAAUUCAACUGGCAGACACAAUUAAACUUGAAAACUUCCUGAAUUUCAACAAUGCCACCGAGUGCCUUCUGCUUGCCAGAACUAGACUGGUCAGUGAUGGUCUGAGGAGAAACUUAAACUACUUUGGAAAUAAGGCAGACUUAGAGAGUGGUAGCGAACAUGGCACCCACCUAGCAUCCAAACCUUGUGAGACCCUGAGGGUCAUGAGUAUAACGGAUUGUGGCUGAGCCGUAAGGGACUCACCGAUCCAAGUCACUCAGCAAGGCCACCACAGGCCAAUCCAGAAGCUAAGAGUAUUAUUUUCCUCGGGCUGCAGUAACAAAAUGCCACAUUCAGACGGUUAAACAACAGAAAUUUAUUUUCUCACAGUUCUGGUAGCUAGAAGUCCCAGAUCGAGGUGUUGGCAGGGUUGGUUUCUUCUGAGGCCUCUCUCCCUGGCUGACAAAUGACUGUCUUCUUGCUGUGUCCUCACAUGGUCUUUCCUCCGUGUGCACACUUCCCUGGUGCUUCUCUGUGUCCAGAUUUCCUCUUCUAGUAAGGACACCAGUCAGAUUGGAUUAGGACCCACCCUAAUGGCCUCCUUUUACCUUAAUCACCUCUUUAAAGACCCUUUCUCCAAAUACAGUCACAUUCUGAGGUACUGGGGGUUAGGGCUUCAACAUAACAGUAGGUUAAAGGAAUUCCCUACCAUUUGAAGUAGUUUAAUGUUGAACUAAACACAUAUUGGUAUCACUUUAAGUCAAUGGAACUUCUUAAUGAGAAAUCUUCCUAAAUUUUGUACAAAUGACCCAAUUUGCAUAUUACUAUUUUCAACAUAUACAGGAGGCCACUGGGUUAGUGCUAUUCUCCCAGUAGUCCUAAAACAGUCUAGACUCACAGUUAAAUACUUUAAUUCCUUUAAUUUCAUUAAUUUAUUUAAUUCCUUGAAGCUGCUAAUAGAAUAUGCCCACUACCCAGCACUCCUUUGAGGCAUUCCUUAAUAACACUAACCAUACUUCAUUUUCUUCUUUUGUGUUACUCUUGAAGUUUAGAAGCCAAUUCAUUUGUCAGAACUAAAUUUGUGCCAUGUAUCAAAUAACAUACUUUUAUUUGCAGUGUUCUAGUAUUGUUUUCAACAGCCAUAUAUUGAUUUUGAGACAGGCUGGGACCUGGGACCCUUUGCUGGGACCUGGGGCCCUUUGCUGCAGUGUUGCAGUGCUUGCACCUCGACACACCUCUCCUCGAGC